GGCCCCGCGCACUCGGUGCCCGCGGGCGGCACCCGGGCUGGCACCGACCGCCGCCGGUGAAGAAACCUCUCUGAGGGUGCCCGAGCCGUGGCACGGCCUGCGCAGAGGCGUGGCGAAGCCUCCUUCUGUGGAGAUAUCCGAAGCUGCCUGGUUGCUUUCCCGUGCGACCUGCUCUGGGGAAGCGGCUUUAAAAGGCGGCCGGGGUCGGGGCAGCCCCCGAGGUGCCCUGCGGGCUCCGGCGCUGUGGCUGUGGCGGCAGCGAUGCUCGGCUCCAGCAGCACGGCGCUCAGCGGGUGGGAGCGAGGCCCUGCGCUGCUGGGAGGGAAAGGUGUUUCCUGGAUGAAGUCGUAAAAACCCAACGGCAUUUUUAAACGCAAGGACCGUGCGGAACACUACUAGAACAUGAUGAUCCUUUUGAGUGUUGGUCCCUGAGAAGAGGAAGGGGCGCACGGGGGCUGUUUGGCAGGAUUCAGCAUGCAGGGCGCUGAGACCCACAGUUCACCUCGUAUUCAGCAAACCUGAGUGCACGUGCGCAAUGCUGAGGUCACAGCACGUCGGUGCCACUGCAGAAACAUCAGAUUUUCUUCUGCCGGUCACUGCUUUCAGUGAAAAGCAGCCGUCUUCCACUGGUAAACAAAAGAAGCACGUGGCAGUUGCUAUGUAAGGACAGUGAAACAAUCAGAAGUCCUUUGUGGAAAUAGAGCCCUUGGUCCUUCAAAAAUCUGUACAGUUGGCAUAGCAAAGCGGGCAGGUCCUGCUGUGCUCCCAGGGGUGUGCGGCCCCCGGCUCGGCGCUGGGUGCAGCCGCAGGCGCAGCCCUGAUACGCAGAGCAAUGGCACGAAAAGAGGAAACCCUUUUUUUGCAAAACCUUUUAAAUGCAGCUGUCCCACUUCCCAUUUGUUGCUAGAGCUGACAAUACAGGAUAAAAAAAAAAAAAGUAGGGUUUUUAAAAUGGGCAUAUGAAUCCAUUCCAUGAAAAAGCAAUCCACCACAGUUAUUGUAUGACUUACGUUUAUAUCAAGUAUUUUCGGUGUGUGGAAAGCUGCAAGCAGGCUGUUUAUGCAGCAUUGGCAACUCAAACACUCUCUGCUGAAGGACAGAUGUUCAGCAAUUCUUUGCUAAAGGGUUUUUCUGCUCGCGUCUCUCUGCAUGCAUGUCUGCCCCGGUGCCUGAGGUGCAGGAGAUCCCUGCACAGCCUUUGUGCUGCCUCUCCCCCGUGGGAGGCACACAGAGGUCUGGGAAGAAGCGUGGGGGCAUGGAGUCAUGAAGAACGGGGCUGGGGGAGGCAGCAGUUGAUGGGCACAGCCCACAGCAUGGCUUGCAGUUGCGCUGGUGGUUUGGGAUUCCAGCUGGGACGUUACCCUGCUGCUGGGGCCAGCAUGUGGCAGGCUGGGAUACACCUGUGUCCCAGAGCUCACUUCCCAGUGUGAAGCCUUGUGAGUCAGUCUCAGAGCAGAAACCCUCCCAGACCCCGAUAAGUUCCUCAGAAGUGUCAGAGGUGAGAUGGGGCACCAGCCUCACGCUGGCUGCAAGGAGUGGGGGCACAUUUGAUUUUCCUUGAGGAGUUUCUGCUUGCCAAGAGCCUUUCACAUGAGGUGUUCUGGGGGCUUUGUCUCACUCUGCUCAUGUCUUUAGAGCUGGAAGCAAGAGGAAGCUGAAAGACUUGUUCAGUAUCUGAGAAGUACCUGCCUUCCUUCCUCAUCUCCAUAAUUUCUUCUAUACCAGGAGGCGCUUCUUUACCCAGAUACGUUUAACUUUCUCCCCUUAUCAGCUUGAUCUUCCCCAGAACGUGUUCCCCUACCCAGCACACAGUUAGAUCCGAAUGCUUUUCUCAGAAAUCCCCCUCCAAAUCUUACUGUUUGUCCUCAUUAAAAAUUAGUG
ensembl:lncRNA